UCAAGUGUUUUGGUUCAAUGAAUGGUC
rnacentral:piRNA from 1 species